UGGGGAAUAUUGGACAAUGGGGGAAACCCUGAUCCAGCAAUGCCGCGUGUGUGAUGAAGGCCUUCGGGUUGUAAAGCACUUUUGUCAGGGACGAUGAUGACGGUACCUGACGAAUAAGCUCCGGCUAACUUCGUGCCAGCAGCCGCGGUAAUACGAGGGGAGCUAGCGUUGUUCGGAAUUACUGGGCGUAAAGGGCGUGUAGGCGGUACCAUAAGUCAGAUGUGAAAGCCCUAGGCUUAACCUAGGAGGUGCAUUUGAUACUGUGGAACUAGAGAUCGAGAGAGGUAAGUGGAAUUACGAGUGUAGAGGUGAAAUUCGUAGAUAUUCGUAAGAACACCAGUGGCGAAGGCGACUUACUGGCUCGAUACUGACGCUAAGGCGCGAAAGCGUGGGGAGCAAACAGG
rnacentral:rRNA from 1 species